CCUACGGGUGGCUGCAGUGGGGAAUAUUGGGCAAUGGAGGAAACUCUGACCCAGCAACGCCGCGUGAAUGAUGAAGGUCUUCGGAUUGUAAAGUUCUUUUCUAAGGGAAGAAGAAAGUGACGGUACCUUAGGAAUAAGCCUCGGCUAACUACGUGCCAGCAGCCGCGGUAAUACGUAGGAGGCGAGCGUUAUCCGGAUUUACUGGGUGUAAAGGGUGCGUAGGCGGUCUUGCAAGUCAGACGUGAAAACCACAGGCUCAACCUGUGGACUGCGUUUGAAACUGUGGGGCUUGAGUGAAGUAGAGGUAGGCGGAAUUCCCGGUGUAGUGGUGAAAUGCGUAGAGAUCGGGAGGAACACCAGUGGCGAAGGCGGCCUACUGGGCUUUAACUGACGCUGAGGCACGAAAGCAUGGAUAGCAAACAGGAUUAGAUACCCCAGUAGUC
rnacentral:rRNA from 1 species